CUGUAGGCUGCAACUCGCCUACACAAGCGGAAUCGCUAGUAAUCGCGGAUCAGCAUGCCGCGGUGAAUACGUUCCCGGGGCCCUUGUACACACCGCCCGUCACACCAUGGGAGUUUGUAACGCCCAAAGUCGGUAGCCUAACCUUUAUGGAGGGAGCCGCCUAAGGCGGGACAGAUGACUGGGGUGAAGUCGUAACAAGGUAUC
rnacentral:rRNA from 1 species